AUGGCCAAAUACCAAUCCAGGUUCUAUUGGGCUGGCGACGAUGACAGGCAGAAGUACCACAUGGUGAGUUGGCCGGACAUCUGUAAACCAAAAGACCAGGGGGGUCUUGGGAUUCUGUCCUCCCGCCGCAUGAACAUCGCCCUCCUGACCCGGUGGCUGUGGCGCAUCGCCAAUGGGGAUGGAGGCCUGUGGCUCACCAUCAUCCGCAGCAAAUAUCUUCGUGGUCAGCCCCUAGCUUUCUAUCAACGGUCGGGCGGAUCCCAGUUCUGGCAGGCCGUCGUGCAGUUGCUCCCCGUGCUUCGUAUCGGCACGUCCAUCUCGGUUGGAACUAGGUCCGCGACCCUGUUCUGGUUCGAUCGGUGGCUCGGUGACACCCCUCUAGCCGCCCGCUUUCCUGCUCUCUUCGCCAUUGCUGUUGACCCUCGGGUCUCCGUUGAGACGGCCCUUAUUGACUUAGGGCGCCUUGCAUUCCGUCGCCCUUUCGGGCCCUUGAAGUGGCCGCCUGGGAUUCUCUACUCCAGGACAUCGCCCUUCUCCCGAUGCGCGUUACUGACGCCCCGGACGCCAUCUCGUGGCGCCUAG
rnacentral:rRNA from 1 species